UUGCUCACUUUGGCAGCACAUAUACUAAAAUUGGAAUAGUACAGAGAAGAUUAGCAUGGCUCCUGCACAGGAUGACACGCCAAGUGUGCAUGCUCUCUCUCUCUCU
ensembl:snRNA U6 U6 spliceosomal RNA